CUGCCUGAGGCCUGAGGGCCAUUAACCCCCUCCCUGACCAGACUGCAGACUCCGACUCCCCCAAACCAGCCUGGGUUCAAGUAGGGGCUAAGAAGAGAUGGAGAAAGGACCGGGCCGGCUCCAACCUGGGUGCAUUUGUGACUGUUUAGUCUGCUGUGUGAGCAUGUGGGCGCCUCUUGGCCCGUGUGUAUUUAGCUAUCCGCGUACAAUGCAGCUUCAGCACUUUAGUGUGAGGACUUCUCAGUGUGUGACACCAGUGAGGGCAGGCCCAACCUCCUCUCAUCUGCAUUGCCAGACCCAGGGUUGACCUCGGAAGGAACCAGGCUGUCUGAUGGGCUCUGCAGACCUGAAGGUAUUGCUUUUAAAAGGAGGGCACGCGGAAGCAGGCCUGAGGGGCUAGGCAGGGGCUCUGCCCAGGAGGGCCCUAGCCAGGCCUCAGAGCCUCACUGGAGGGCAGUCAUGGGCCAGGAGCCCAAGCUGACUGCAUUUCUGCUCCCUUGGGAGACUUUUCAUUAUCAAAUAAAUAUAGAAAAGAGCCCUCCCUCCCAGCACCAUGCCCUGACUCUCAGUGGCCAGAUGGCUGAACUAGAGGCAGAGCUGGGCACUAGGGGAGUAACUGCUGGGCUCAGGUGGGCUCCCACAGACCCAUCAAAACAGAGGCACAGGCGCCCAGGGCUAGAUAGGGGGCAUGGAGAGGGAGGGACAUGGGCGGCCCUGCUACUGCUGGCAAGAGGUGGCCCCAUUUUUUCCAGAUGGGGAAACUGAGGCACAAGGAGGUUUGGGAACUUGCCCAAGGUCACUCACAGUGAGUCAGCUUUUUAGGGGGGGAGGGGCAGCUCACACUCUAGGGAACAUGGUCUCCCCAUUGGAGAGCAAGAGGCAGGAAGGGUCUGGGGCUGCCAGAGGACGUGGCCCUCUCUGACAGUACACAGGGUAUAGGCCUCUGGAGUUGGGUCUUUGCUUGGUACUGGGUGCGCCAAGUCCAGUGCAGGGAGGGGAAUUCUGGAGAGAACAGCAUUUCUGGCAAGACGGGCAUCCACUUCAAAAUUUUCGGCUCAAAAAGGGUAGCAGGGCUGUUCUCAAGCCAGGCAGGCAGGUCCCCCGUCCCUACAGAUUUCCCUCCACGCCUUCCACCCCCAAGCAGACAUCUGCCCAGGGUCUACUGGGAGAGAUACCAUGUCUGAGGCAGGGUGGGAGGCUCUCUAAGCACAUCUGGCCUGUCCUCAGCGGGCCCAGAGCAUUCUCCAAAGCUGGCCACAGGUCCCUUCACUCUAUGUCCAUGCUACCUGGGUACCACAUGAAGGAUGGAAGAGGCAGGGCUAAUGCGAAUGUGCAGCACCUCAGAGAAGCUACUGAGACAGACAAAGAGCCAAGUCUAGAGAGAGAGGGCCUGGCAGGUUGAGAGCAGAGAACUGGCAAGAGAGUUCCUAGGUGCCUGGGGCAAGAAGGGAACCUACACACAGAUGUGAGCCCUGGUGUUCAGCCAGGCUGGGGGCAGAGAGUGGCCACGGGCUGAACCUAGAGAUGAGAGAGAAGUUGGGUUCAGUAAAAAAAUAAAUAUAUUUGAAUUGGGUGGAAAAUGAGGUGAAAGUGUUCCAAAGCUUAGACUGAGGGCAAGCCCCGGGGGAAGGGGGCAGGGUAGGGAAGAGGACAGUGGGAAGGGUCACUUCCUGGGGGCCAGCAGUGAGCUGGUCAGCUUAUAUGGACUGUGGGGAGCACUGGCCUCUCCAAGCGGCAGCUGUUCUAGGGCCUGGGUGGCAAGUGUAGGCUCCCCUCUUUCCUCCCGGCACUCAGUCCAGAGACAGAGUUAAAGAGACAGAGGUAGAUUAAAAUGUCAUGAUUAAAAGCAGAUUAGGUAUCUAGAAUUUUCAGAUUAAAAAAAAAAAAAAAAACAAAUGAAAAAAACAAUCAAGCAAUCAUCCCAAAAGGUAGCUUUGUGGUACCUCUGUUGACCCUGGCUGUGACCUGGGCUGUCCCUAUCCCUGCCCUGUCCUAUUGCAGCGUAGGAGAGUCAGUUCAGCACUGCUGGGCCCCAGCCCAGGGCCAAUGGCUGGGCCUCAGGUGGGCUGAGGAGAGGUGUGCUGGGGCCAGUGCCCUAGCUGAGGGCACUAUUUCCGCAGGUAACGCUGUGCCAGAAUGGCUGUGUCCAAGGAGGUCAUGGGCUGUGCGUCGUGGCCAAGCCGUCGCACUGGUGGCAUACUGCCGAACUGCCGCUUGGGCACCCAGGUCCGGGCCUCGUGGAUGGAGCUCUUCUCCUCAGCAAGCAGCAGUUGCUGUCGCAUGUAGUUCUCAAACUCGUACUGGGAGCAUUCCUCUGUUACCUUUGCCUGUGAGGCCAAGAGACCAAGGGCAAAUCACCUGCUGAUACCUGGCUGUGUGCUGCCCACCCACCGUGCCCUGCUUUGUGGGGCUCUGGAUCAUCUCCAUCAGCCUAGGAGACUCUGGGAGCUACGCCUGAGCCUACAACUCCCACGCCCAGGAAAACAGCUCACAGAGCAGGUGGUCAGGGUGUCUGUAGACACAGCUGGCAGCCACCACUCACCCCCUCCAUUCCCCUCAUCUCGCCUGGUGUCUUCACAGCAGCUGUCACCAUCUGCCAGUCCCCUCUUUUGUUGCUUUCCACCUCCCUACUAGGUGAGGUGUUCUCUGACACAGGUGCUCUCAUCACUGCCUGGGCCUGGCUUGGGCUUGCACAUUCACUUCAUUAACCUCUCUACCAGCUUUCUUGUCAGCACUAUGGUUUGAAAAUGGUUUUUUUUUUUAAGAUUUAAUAUGUAUACAGUGUUCUGGUUGCAUGCCAGAAGAGGGCACCAGAUCUCAUAGACCAGAUCUCAUAUGGUUGUGAGUCACCAUGUGGUUGCUGGGAAUUGAGCUCGGGACCUUUGAAAGAGCAGUCAGUGCUCUUAACCUCUGAGCCAUCUCUCUAGCCCUAGUGCUAUGGUUUCCGUGUCCCCAGCACAGGGAGGGGGAAGGGGAAAGGAAACUGUAAUGGGACAAAUGGACAUAAAAGCAAGGUGGGGUCGGAGGGAAAAAGAGACUAGGAAGAGGAAGGAGUGAGGAAGGCAUACGGGAACAAAGUAUACUGAUGUGUAAAAACAAAAUUGUCCCAGUGAAACCUGUUACUAAUUUUUUGAAGGUGCCAAACAAAAAGGUCACCUUACCUUGGGGUUUUGUGAGAUUGUCCUUAGGAGAGUAGUAUGCCUUUAUUUGGGGACAGGACUGUUGAGACAGGGUCUGCUACACGGCCCAGACUAGCCUAGAACCCAAGGUCCUCUGCCUCCUGCAGACGCUGGAAGUGUGGUGCCAUGCUCAAACAGUUUAGGCUUCUAGUUUUUAACACUGCAGCUUUAAGCCACAUGAUGGGGAAGAUCCCUCCCAACCCCCAGGGUUUCUCUGUGUAGCUCUGGCUGUCCUGGAACUCACUCUGUAGACCAGGCUGGCCUGGACUCAGAGAUCCACCUGCCUCUACCUCCCGAGUGCUGGUAUUAAAGGUGUGUGCUGCCACUGCCUAGCAUUGGGGAAGAUUUCUUACCUGUCCUUCAUAUGCCCUUUUGGAACUCCCAUCCCUUUCCUACCUCUAACCUGAUGUGACCAGUCUGUCGUCUUCCUCCACUAGACCAGAGAUCUCCUUCAGGGUAGGUCAGGACCAGUUUGGGCUCAGGGAGCCCCAACACCUAGUCCAGGCCCUGCCUACAGGUCACCAUCUGUUCAAGGAGUGUACUGCACACAACGUGGGGAGUGCACAUACCACUGAGCACAUCAGGACUGAUGUAGGCAGGGCUCCCCCUCUGGUCCUUCAGCAGGUCCCCCUCGCUCACGAGGUGCUUCCCAAGGCAGAAGUUGGUGAUAGUUAUCCGAUGGGUCCUAUGAAUGGGAGGCAGAGGGUGAACAUGGAGGCAACAGAGCCACGCGUCCUGCUGGGUCAGGCCCCUGUUCCAAACACAGCCGCAACCUCCCCUGAACCUGCUGCUCAGAGCUUGAAACAAUUCCCAAAGAUUUUCACCAAUAUUCAAGUUGGGAGUAACCUGGAAUUUGCAUAUGAUUCCCUCAUUACCACACUCAGGAAAGACCACCAGAGGUGAGUGACCUUAAUACUCCCUCCCUCUGUGCUACGGCCAGUGGGCAGGUCCUGAGCCUCCUUGCCUCACCAUCGCAGAGAAGGUAGCCCAUGCAUCCUUUGGGCAGGAAGCCCAGCACACCAGGCCUGGGCCUCAUGUGGCCAUUCUGGUUCCAUGUGAAGUUUCCACACGCUCUGGUGCAGUGUGGAGGCUGAUCCUAUGCUGUACCCUCCAGCUGACAGCUGCGUAUCUGUGUGCACAUGUCACGGAGGCCAAAUGUUCAUAUCUGGUUCUUUUUCUCUAUAUCAGUGUUUUUAUUUUUUAAUUGUGCAUGGGUGGUUUGCCUGCAUGUAUGUCUGUGCACCACAUACGUGCCUGGUGCCUGUGGAGGCCAGACGAGGGCACUGGAUCGCCCUGGGACCAGCAUUACAGAUGGUGAGCCAUCACUCAGCCCCCUUACGGUAUUUUUUUUGAGAUGGCAUCUCUUACUGAACCCAGAGCUCUGCAACUUGGCAAGACGACCUGGCCAGCAAAGCCCAGGGAUCCUCUCCUCUAUGCCUUAGCAGGGAUGGGACUGUAGGCUCAAGUCACCAUUCUGGCUUUUUAGGCUAGGGACCUGAACUCAAACCCUCCACACUUGCCUGGCGAGCACUUAACCAAAUGUACUGUCUCUCCUGUCCCCAGCUAUCCUUUCUGGGAAUGGGGGGCGGGGGAGGGGUGUCUCUCCAUGGAGCCCUGGCAUCUACCUAGGUGAAUGUGUCAUUCAGCUCUUCCCAGUUCCCACAGUCCUCAGAGCUAACAGAAUGGGAAUGGAGGGUGCCAGCAGUUAACUGGUUAAAUUUCAACCACUCUUGUCUUCCUAGAACCCCACUAUAGGCCAAAGGCACUCAGGGGAUUCAGCACUGGAAGGGUAGGGAACUUUCCUCGUGUUUUCAGGAUGACGUAACCCCCAUGGGCAGGUGGAACCAGGAGAGGGCACGAGAGCCUUUGUUUAGGAGCAACUCCAACCUUGGUCUCCUUCCUGCUUCAUGCGAGGGCACUCUGCUGCUGAUGUAGGGUGGCAGGGUGGCACGAACCCAAUAGGAGAGGGCCAGCAAUGCAGAUCUGGGUCUUCACUGCUCAAGGACUCCAAGAGAGAAGGUUCACCCCAGAGAGGGAAGAAUUGUGAGCUGGUGAUGCUGCCAAGUUGGGGUUCCCUUUGCUAACAGUUUCGAGCAUGUAGCCUAUAGAAGAGUUUUGGGGCCCUGCCGCAGGGCUUGUGAACACGGCAUGUAGAACCCACACUGUCUGGUAAACGAGGCACUGCCUGGAAGAGUGGCAGGUCACUGUGGGCUGCAGCCACACCGCAUCAUGUACAUAGGAUUAGCGAUGUCUGUUCCCAACAACCUUUGUGGCUGUCUCAUUUCCUGUAGUGCCAGGGGUCACAGCCAGGGCUUGUGCGCACCAGGCAAGAGCUCUUUCACUGACUAUACCCCAGCCCUAUUCCUGUUCACUGCCACUGAUAGCGUAGCUUCCUGACAGUCCUCAUUUGGAGCUGCAGGUUCUCCUGGGAGGCAAGACUGACAUCAGAUAAAGAAUGUGGCUCCACAUAGUGGGCAAGAGUCACUUAGGAAGCUGGAGCAGCAGCGCAGGAAAGGCAUAAGGAGGGGAGCUGAACUGGUACAGAGAAAAUAAGGGCCAUACAGGAAAUACAGAGCUAGUUUUGAGGCCUAUCCUUGGUAGCACUUCAGUCUCUGCCAGGACUCAGGUGGCAUUUUAUUCCAACAGCGGCCUAUAAAGGAGGCUUUUUGUUAUCAUUUAUUACAAUUUAUUCAAUUUGUAUCCCAGCUGUGGCCCCCUCCUUCCCUCUUCUCCCUCUAUACCCCUCCCCUAGUCCACUGAUAGGGGAGGUCCUUCUCCCUUUCUAUUUGACCCUAGCCUAUCAGGACUAGUUGCAUUGCCUUCCUCUGUGGCCUGGCAAGGCUGCACCUCCAAGAGGGAGGUGAUCAGAGAGCCUGUCUCUGAGUUCAUGCUAGAGAAAGCCCUUGCUCCCCUUACUAGGGACCCCACUUGGAUACUGAGACUAUGGGCUACAUCUGAAUUGGGGUUUUAGAUUCUAUGCAUUGUCCCUUGGUUGGGCUAUCAGUCUCUGCAGGGUCCCCAGGGCUCAGUUUUUUUUGGCUCUGUUGGUCUCCUUUUGGAGCUCCUGUCCUCUCCAGGUCUUUCUAUUUGAAGGCGGCUUUUCCAAUGCCCUAUUUCAGAUGGUACAACUAAGGCCCAGAAGUAAAGGGACCUGCCCGAGGUCACAUAGCUUUCGAGUUGGAAGGUAGGUCCAAGCCCAGGUCUAAGGCCCCAGAGACCCUGGGAAGUACCCAGCCCCCAAAUAACUUGUUUCUGUUCCAUCCAGGCUGACUCAUCUCUUGUCUUGGUUUCAGACUGCCUUGGCCUAGAAAAAGACUCUUCUCUGAGAAUCAUCAAGCAGGUGGCUUUGGGCUUGGAACCGUUCUAGGAAACUCAUGGUGUGGUCCUCGCACUACAGCUUUGGGGGAAGGGAGGGUUGCCCUCACCAAGAGGGGAGCACCAGUACGGAGGGAUGUCCUGUGCUUAAUGGCUAAGCGUGGCAGCUGGGUAACGGUGUGAGGUGCUCAGUGAGAGCCCAUGAGCACCUCUUUCUAGAACAGUCUCCAGGGCAGGCGGAGGGAGGCUCAAGAGCAGUGUAUGUGGCUGCAAGUGGAUUUCCCCAGGAGCUGCAUCCAAGAGGCUCUGAGAACCCUUCAGCAACUUCAGGGAACUCUGUUGGCAAAGGGCUUGGUGCAAACAAAAGCCAGUCUGUCCUCCACAUUUCCCGUUGAAACGUGGGCUUCAGCUCUCACCCAGGACUCCCUACAGAAGCCUCCCUGGUGGCCUGCAGGCUAGAGCCUCAGACUGCAGACAGAGGGUCUCAGCAAGGGUCCUCUGCAUGUCGAGAUGCAAAGUGCCCCACCUCGGAGCCUCCUGUGCCACUGCUCUGGACAUGAGGCUGUAAGGCUUUACCGGUCAGCACCGUGUGUCUGUGCUGGCCACUGCAACCACAAAUGUAUGUUGUGGCCUCUGAGGCUUAGAAUGCUGGGAGGAGAGCUCAAAGCAGGGGCAGUGGGAUAAAGACCCAGAUUCCCAGGUCUCUGCAUUUCCUUGCUAUGUGAAGCUCUUGCUAAGCUCAAAUGUCCCUUUCUGUCAGGAGAAAUAUGGCAGAGCCUGACCCUCAGGAUCCAACUGGAUCCUGAGUGGUUAAGAAGAUGGUCCACAGUGGGCCCUGAGUUCCAGGCUUGCCAGAGGAAGCUGCCAAUAGCCUCUCAUCCUCUGCCAGCUGGCAUGCCUGAGAGCCUAGGAAAGAUAUCGUCUCUGACAUGGGUGAUAACAGGCCCUGGAGCACAUGCAUUUGUGUUGCUCCAGGUCCCGCCAGCAGGACGUCCAACCUUCUGCUUGUGGAGGCUGCUCUGCCACAGAGGUACCUGGAGUCUCUCCCACAGGAAACACCAUGGUCAGCCCAGAGACCUCCUAAAGCUUGGCAACACUGGCCUGCCUUGCCACCACCACCCACGUUGGCAGAGUGGCAUUCAGCUCCCCAGGAGUCCCAGACCCCCCAGCUGGUCCUGACAGGAGGGCAAAGGCACUGAGGGGUGAUGUGCGUCAGCAAGGGCUGCUUUGGGUGAGUCACGCUCCAGCUAUGGCCCUGGGCUACCACAGUGUUCUGCUUUUCUAGGAAUUGGUAUGCAACUCGCCUACCCAAGAGGAAGGAGGAAGAAGGAACCCGCAGCCAGCCUCACAUAACCCCAAGGAGGACUUCAGAUUUCAGCCCGUGCUUUUCCCUGUUCCCUUGGGCUCUCGUCCCAUUUGUCUGCAUUCCACUGGGUAGCAAGGAGCCUGGCAGGAUGGGUGGGAAAGGGCUGCAUGCCAAGGAUGAACUGGGAAUAUGAGGGGCUUUCCACGCUCUAUCUCCCUGUACCCUUCCUGAGUGUCUGGGUACUUCACUGGAUCCCGUCUGUCCUAAGUGCGGUGUAGUGCUCUGUAACCUGAAGGUCACUUGAGACCUGCUACAGCUAGGCUGAGAGCUCCAGAGGUACGCCUCCAGACUACGCAGAAUCAGGGGCUGGAGAAGGCAGAGAAGGAAAACUACCAUCGGAAAAAAGCCACGCAGACUAGUGUGGUUAGCAGGCAGGAGCCCCACUGUGUGUUUCCAUGACAACCCCUGGGAUGCUCAUUUAGAGAGUCAGCAAGCCAACAAGCAGCUGUUAUGAAAGGCUUGGGCUCUCUAGUCCAGCUGGUUGGGACUUGGGUUCUGCAAUGUCCCACCAAGGGCCUAGAACAAACAGGACCCAAGCCUUCCUCUUUCUUACAGUUUAUAAAUAAAUAAAUAUAUAUAUUUAAGGCA